rnacentral:rRNA from 1 species
UACGUAGGGUGCGAGCGUUGUCCGGAAUUAUUGGGCGUAAAGAGCUUGUAGGCGGUUUGUCGCGUCUGCCGUGAAAAUUCGAGGCUCAACCUCGAACUUGCGGUGGGUACGGGCAGACUAGAGUGUGGUAGGGGAGACUGGAAUUCCUGGUGUAGCGGUGAAAUGCGCAGAUAUCAGGAGGAACACCGGUGGCGAAGGCGGUUCUCUGGGCCUUACCUGACGCUGAGGAGCGAAAGCGUGGGGAGCGAACAGG